UCCAAAGUAGUCUUUUGUUCUUGCCUUUUUUUGGAGUUUGAGUUUUUCCCCCUCCGCAUUUGGGUCCUAACCCUCCACCACACCGUGACAACUGUACUCUGCUGGAGUAAGAGCAAAUAUGAAGAGCAGAGAGAGAUACUUCAGCAUUUCCUGAUCCUCAGAGAAAAGGGCCAGGUCCCCACCUACAUCACCUCUGAGGACAUGAAAGACUGGGUAAUCUCGGAUGGACAGAACAUCCUGAGGGAGAGAUUUCAGACGGACACUUCUCAGCAGCGAGAUCGCCUCAUUCACCUGAGUGCACCUGUCUCAUUAGAGGCUGGAAGAGCUUCAGACACUAAUGAAGCUGCUUCUCUCUGCAGGGAGUCUGCAGCUCUGGAGAAAGCAGCAGCUGCAGAGAGCUACUCCAGGUGGUACUUUGAUGCCCACUUUGUGGUGCGUCGGGCACUGCGAGAGCUGGCACAGGCGCUGGCACACCCAUUCACCUGCUCCCCCCCACAUCCUGUCAGCAGUGGUGGGGGACACCGUCACCGGCCUGCUUGGCGCCGUCAUGGAGCCAGCCAAUCGCAGAGCGCCGAGCAGGGCCUUCAGCGAGGUGGCGGUGGGCGGGGCCAUAUGCGUCCGUGACGACCUGCGCGCUGCGGGAUGGGCGGAGGAGCGGGCUUUCGGGGCGCAGUGCUGGAGGUGGGCCAGGCCCAACAUGGUAGGGGUGCUCCACAGAGACCUGCUGGAGCAGACCGGCUCCCCUGGGGGCCUGCAGGCCGCCCUGAGGGGGAACAGCGCCGCGGUCACCUCCGCCAUUGCCACCGCCAUCGCCAAGGCCCUCCUCGCGGCUGCUGAUACCGCGCUGAGCGCCGGCCCUGCCACGCCUGAGGAAGAGAAGGAAGAGGAGGAGGAAGAGAACGUCCCUGUGGCAGAAGAUCCUGUGAACACUGCAGUGGAACCAGAGACGCCAGUGGCCCAAGACAAGACAUCAGUGGUUGAUAGUGAGGCAUCCACAACUUCAGAGGAGGAAAUGGAUUCCUGCAUGACAUCACUGGAAGAAAUUGGCUCAAAAAUGACAGCGGAUAAUAGUGAUGCAGUCAUGACAUCACUUGAAGUAGACCCCUGCAUGACAUCUCAGGAGGAUAUGGACUCACCACUGACACCACAGAUGGAAAGUGAGGCACCAAUGACAUCAACGGUGCUAACUGAUGUGGUCAUGGCAACGCUGGGGGGGAUCCCCACGACUGAGGAACCUCUGGUGGAGGAGGGAGGAAAGCCAGAUGGAGAUUGCAAAAGAAACCUGUUGAAUACAGAUGGGACACUGGAAUGAUACAGUGAAAUGGAAGCCAGAACUCACACUUGGUCCUGAGAGGCAAACAGUGAUGUGAUGACAAGAUAUAUGGAAACUACAGUAUCAGUAGAGAUGGACAAAUCCACAGUGGCAGACGUCAUUUACCAGGACGAGAGGCUCCUCCACACAGGCCAAAAUGUGAAGUUAAAAUGUUUUCUGGAUGGACACCGUGCAGGAACCAUCCAGACAGACUCAUUUCAGGGGGAGCCUAAACAGGUGUGAGGAUGAGUUGGCGGACUUUGCGCCCUGACCCCCCGGAUAUGCUGGAUUUAUUAGGCACAGUGUGAGCAAUGUGUGCUGCUGUUGCUGUGUGCUGAAGUGGUUAAGGAUGAGAAGCUGAUGUCGUAGCUAGGAAGGGCUCUUCCUGGCCGACCCUGGGGCUGGUGGACAAGCCUGCAGCAGGGAUGCUAACACAUGUGUAGCGUGGAUGCUAGCACAUGUACCCCUGUACAGAGACACACAUCCCCACUUUGCAGGGAUGAUUUGCAAGAAAAUUGGUUAAAGCGCUGUGUGAUUCGUCUUGGAACAAUGUCUUUUGCUUUUUUUCUAGAGCCCGACCGAUAUAUCGGUUUGGCCGAUAUAUCGGCCAU